UACUCCGCCGGCGACCGGCGCACGGGUGCGUAACGCGUAUGCAACCUACCUUUAACAGGGGCAUAACACUGAGAAAUCGGUACUAAUUCCCCAUAACAUUCGAGAAGGCAUCUUCUUGGGUUAAAAACUCCGGUGGUUAAAGAUGGGCAUGCGUUGUAUUAGCUAGUUGGUGAGGUAACGGCUCACCAAGGCAACGAUACAUAGGGGGACUGAGAGGUUAACCCCCCACAUUGGUACUGAGACACGGACCAA
rnacentral:rRNA from 1 species